rnacentral:rRNA from 1 species
UACGUAGGGUGCGAGCGUUAAUCGGAAUUACUGGGCGUAAAGCGUGCGCAGGCGGUUUUGUAAGCCAGAUGUGAAAUCCCCGGGCUUAACCUGGGAAUGGCAUUUGGGACUGCAAGGCUUGAGUGCGGCAGAGGAGACUGGAAUUCCUGGUGUAGCAGUGAAAUGCGUAGAUAUCAGGAGGAAUACCGAUGGCGAAGGCAGGUCUCUGGGCUGACACGUGACGCUCAUGCA